UUAUCCUUUAAAUUAGUCCCGUGAGGCUAAGAAGGAAUGAGUACAAAAGCCUAUGGUGCGCCAUAUGGAGAUUUUGUACCCGCUGAUACUAGACGAUCAUUCCUCCUGUCCAUCUCGGGCAGGAGUUUUUUUGU
rfam:Enterococcus canis strain DSM 17029 Scaffold2, whole genome shotgun sequence.